GGAAGCGUUUCGUCACCGGUGUGGCGCGUGGGCUUCAAACCCAUUGUGAGACUCAUCCUCUCAGGCAGGUUCGACUCCUGUACGCUUCCGCCA
rnacentral:tRNA from 1 species